UUAAGCUCUUUCACAAAUUGCAGUGCUGUGGAUGUCUGGUUCAAAGCAUGAAGGCAAUAUGAAUCACCUUACCGUACUUUGAUGUAUUCUGGGAAUGAAUGUAUCUUGUAAGAGUUCUAUUGAUUUCUGUUCAAUAAUUGACUAGAAACGAGAUUGUCACGAAUGUUACUGAAUCUAUUUGGAUGCUGAAAACUUUCAACUUCGUUGUGAUUUCUAAAUUCUAGUUGGAGAAUAACAGAAAGGUUUAUUAUGACUUGCAUCUGAA